rnacentral:rRNA from 1 species
UCCGAAGGGUGCAAGCGUUAAUCGGAAUUACUGGGCGUAAAGCGUACGUAGGCGGCUUUCUAAGUCAGGGGUGAAAUCCUGGAGCUCAACUCCAGAACUGCCUUUGAUACUGGAGAGCUUGAGUCCGGGAGAGGUGAGUGGAACUCCGAGUGUAGAGGUGAAAUUCGUAGAUAUUCGGAAGAACACCAGUGGCGAAGGCGGCUCACUGGCCCGGUACUGACGCUGAUGUGCGAAGGCGUGGGGAGCAAACAGG